GUCUACAGCCAUGCUACCCUGAACAAGCCCAAUCCCGUCUGAUCUCAGAAGCUAAGCAGGGUCGGGCCUGGUUAGUACUCAGAUGGGAGACCACCUAGGAAGAUCAGGUGCUGUAGGCG
rnacentral:rRNA from 1 species